GAUGAACGCUGGCGGCGUGCCUAAUACAUGCAAGUCGAGCGAACAGACGAGGAGCUUGCUCCUCUGACGUUAGCGGCGGACGGGUGAGUAACACGUGGAUAACCUACCUAUAAGACUGGGAUAACUGCGGGAAACCGGAGCUAAUACCGGAUAAUAUAUUGAACCGCAUGGUUCAAUAGUGAAAGACGGUUUUGCUGUCACUUAUAGAUGGAUCCGCGCCGCAUUAGCUAGUUGGUAAGAUAACGGCUUACCAAGGCAACGAUGCGUAGCCGACCUGAGAGGGGGAUCGGCCACACUGGAACUGAGACACGGUCCAGACUCCUACGGGAGGCAGCAGUAGGGAAUCUUACGCAAUGGGCGAAAGCCUGACGGAGCAACGCCGCGUGAGUUAUGAAGGUCUUCGGAUCGUAAAACUCUGUUAUUAGGGAAGAACAAAUGUGUAAGUAACUAUGCACGUCUUGACGGUACCUAAUCAGAAAGCCACGGCUAACUACGUG
rnacentral:rRNA from 1 species